GCUUUGACAACCCCCUCGGGUCCCCUUCCACAGUGUGGAAGCUUUGUUAUUUCGCUCUUUGCAAUAAAUCUUGCUACUGCUCACUCUUUGGGUCCACGCUACUUUUAUGAGCUGUAACACCCACCGUGAAGAUCUGCAGCUUCACUCCUGAGCCCAACGAGCCCACGAGCCCACUGGGAGGAACCAACAACUCCAGACGUGCUGCCUUAAGAGCUGUAACACUCACCGUGAAGGUCUGCAGCUUCACCCCUGAGCCAGUGAGACCACGAACCCACCAGAAGGAAGAAACUCCAAACACAUCUGAACAUCAGAAGGGACAGACUCCAGACGCGCCACUUUAAGAGCUGUAACACUCACCGCGAGGGUCCGCGGCUUCAUUCUUGAAGUCAGUGAGACCAAGAACCCACCCAUUCCGGACACACCAUCAUCAUGUAAGGCACUAACAACAGGAGAAGCUGGGUGAAAGAAUCUAUGUCACAGUGAUUGAUUUACUGCAUAUGAGCAGAAUGAACCUGGACCUGGCCAGUAUCAUUAAGCUGUGUUUCCCCUGAAGUUAUGUGAAAAGCAUUUGUGGAUUUAACAGAGUUAAGGGUCUCACUUCAUCACCUAGACUGGAGUACAGUAGCACAGUUGCAGCUUCCUACAUCUUGACUUCCUGGGUUCCAGUGAUCCUCCCCCUUCAGCCUCUCAGCAGAGAGAGAAAGAAAGCAGAGCUCUUUGAAGCAGAGAAAGAAAGCAGAAAGCAGAGAUCUUUGAAGGCUUAAGAAACCAUAAGCUGCAGGAAUUAUGAGUGGGAAGAACAGGUGUUCCGAGAGAUUCUACGGUUCUUCAGUUGCUAAGGAAACCACUUUCAUCAGUUCAGAAAGGCUGAUAACCUGGACUUUUUCUGCCAAAUUACUAUCAACAAAGGAGUUUUGGAGAGUCAAUGCAUGAUGAUCUCUGAAGAUUCUACUGAAAUCUAAUCAAUAUGUCCUCACUGCCAUCAAUUCAAAAGAACUUGCUAAGAAGGCUCUAGAGGCUUGUACUCUCAGAUAGUGAAAGUGAGAUGAUGUGUAGUGAAAGUCAUAUAUAGGUUGUAAAUUGCAAUAUGGAAUUCCCAAAUGCUGAAUUCAUUUUAUCUCUUCGGAAAUAAAAACCUGUUAAAGACUCA
rnacentral:lncRNA from 1 species